GAAAUGCGAUAAGUAGUGUGAAUUGCAGAAUUCAGUGAAUCAUCGAAUCUUUGAACGCACAUUGCGCCCCUUGGUAUUCCAUGGGGCAUGCCUGUUCGAGCGUCAUUUGUACCCUCAAGCUCUGCUUGGUGUUGGGUGUUUGUCCCGUCUCCGCGCGUGGACUCGCCCCAAAGUGAUUGGCAGCCGGCGUACUGGUCCCGGAGCGCAGCACAUGUUGCGCAAACGAGUGCCUUGGUACGGCGGCGUCCAUAAGCCCCUCUCUCACGCUCUUGACCUCGGAUCAGGUAGGGAUACCCGCUGAACUUAAGC
rnacentral:misc_RNA from 1 species